UGGGGAAUAUUGGACAAUGGGGGGAACCCUGAUCCAGCCAUGCCGCGUGUGUGAAGAAGGCCUUAUGGUUGUAAAGCACUUUAAGCGAGGAGGAGGGUACUGGUAUUAAUACUACCAGGUACUGGACGUUACUCGCAGAAUAAGCAUCGGCUAACUCUGUGCCAGCAGCCGCGGUAAUACAGAGGGUGCGAGCGUUAAUCGGAUUUACUGGGCGUAAAGCGUGCGUAGGCGGCUAAUUGAGUCGGAUGUGAAAUCCCCGAGCUUAACUUGGGAAUUGCAUUCGAUACUGGUUAGCUAGAGUGUGGGAGAGGAUGGUAGAAUUCCAGGUGUAGCGGUGAAAUGCGUAGAGAUCUGGAGGAAUACCGAUGGCGAAGGCAGCCAUCUGGCCUAACACUGACGCUGAGGUACGAAAGCAUGGGGAGCAAACAGG
rnacentral:rRNA from 1 species